rnacentral:rRNA from 1 species
UACGAAGGGGGCUAGCGUUGUUCGGAAUUACUGGGCGUAAAGCGCGCGUAGGCGGUUCGGUAAGUCGGGUGUGAAAUCCCCAGGCCUAACCUGGGAACUGCAUUCGAGACUGCCGAGCUAGAGGCUUGGAGAGGAGAGUGGAAUUCCCAGUGUAGAGGUGAAAUUCGUAGAUAUUGGGAAGAACACCAGUGGCGAAGGCGGCUCUCUGGCCAAGUUCUGACGCUGAGGCGCGAAAGUGUGGGGAGCAAACAGG